AAAACUUUCAACAACGGAUCUCUUGGUUCUGGCAUCGAUGAAGAACGCAGCGAAAUGCGAUAAGUAAUGCGAAUUGCAGAUACCGCGAGUCAUUGAAUCUUUGAACGCACAUUGCGCCCUUUGGUAUUCCGAAGGGCAUGCCUGUUCGAGCGUCAUU
rnacentral:rRNA from 1 species